rnacentral:lncRNA from 1 species
CCCGGAAGCACGCUGUCUGCCAGUCAUAUCACUGCAGAGGGGGAGAAGGCACCAGAGCCAUGGCACAGCAGACGGUGAUGGGUUCCUUCCCUGCCAAGCACGGAAAAGAAAAUGGCACCUUCUUCUUCGCCAACCAGACACAGAUCCUGUGUUAAGCACCUCUUGUAGAUAUUGUGGUGUUCCCUCUGUGACCCCACCCUCUUGCUUAGAUGCUGUGGCCUCCAUUCCAUGCAGAGAGAAACAGAGCACAGAAGCCAAGUGACUUGCUGAAGACCCUGUGUCUGGGUACAGACAGGAUUCAAAGCCAACUUAACUGCCCCUGCAGAACCAGCGUCCUCUGGCAUAAGCAGGACCCACCCGUUGCUCAUCGGUUGUUUACUAUGUCCUGGAGUUUAGUAAAUGUUGGCUCUGCUGCCUGUAGAUGCUGUGCACCCAUUUCUACCAGAAUUUCUAGGUUCUUUAAUCUCUUUAAAUGUUUGUUACUGUCUUAGCCAGCUAAGGGUGCUCCAACAGAAGCUGUGGAUGGAGUGGCUCAAACAACAAACAUUUCUUCCUCACAGUUCUGGAGGCUGGGAUGUCCAAAGUCAAGGCACCAGGAGACCUGCUGUCUGGGUCCCACUCACAUGACCUAUAACCUGCCAAAGGCCCCAUCAUGAGAUACCAUCACACAGGAGACUAAGUCACAACACACGGAGUUCCUGGGAAUCCGUGACAGCUACAAAGCUUCCUGCGGCACCAUGGGGUGAAGAAUAGUUCUUUGAUUCAUCAGUUAUCUUUUCUGCACGGCCAUUUCUUCAUGUCAUCAAUGAAGAGCACUCAGAAUUCAUCCCUCCCGAUCUCCCCACAGAGCCAGGUCCCCCGGGAGUAGAUGGAGCACUCUCCGAUGUCUGAAAGGAAAGCACGACUACUUUGAACACAUUUUCCUAUCUCCUUCACUGCCCAAUGCCCGUGGAACUUUUGUGUCUGUAUGCAGGAAGCGUGACGACAGUCAGGCAAACAUUUCAUUUGCUUCUUCAAAGGUUUUCUUACUAUUUCUUACAAGAAAGCUAAGAUUUCCUGGAUUUGGGGGAAAAUGGCAUGUUUACAGUCUUUGCUUUCCCUUACCAAUCUUUAAUCUCACGUUUCUCUCCAGGCAUCUUCUGGUGUGUGCAGGACCCGAUGGAGGAGUGAUGAGACCUCAGAGCCAUGUCCAGGCUCUUCCAGUCAGUUGGUGGCCUCCACAAAUGCCAGCCAGCCCGCCCAAUGCAAGCUUCUGCUUGGCCAACGUGUAGCAGUUACGAUGCAGCAAUUGGAAGAGGCUGUGGGGAUCAGUAAUUCCAGUGGGGGAGCGACGGACACCCCUAAGAACCCAUUCCACGAUUUUAGUCCCAAAUUGGAUUUUGCUUGGAGAAAUUCUCUGCCCUGUAGUAGUGGUUUUUAAGAUCACAGAUAUUGGAGUAAGAAAGACAAGGCUCUUCUAUUUGCUGGUCUAUUGACUCACAGGGGAAUACCAGAGAACUUGGCAUCCAGAAAACAGUCAACAAAUGAAGACAGUGCAACUAAGACCUGGGCGCCAUGUUCCUUCCCUAAGGCUCAUUUCACUAGGAUGCUGUGUCAGCACGCGCACACACACACACACACACACUCACACACUCCAGGAAGCCUCUAAAAGAAAUGCAAGUGUUCUCCAGUAGAAGGAGCAUCGCUGAAAUUUACUCAACAGCACGGUCUUCGUGUCUUUCCCUCCCAGGCCCACACUCUCAGCUGCCUCCUCCCCUCUCGCUCCUUUCCUCCUGUGUUCUCCAGCAAGGGUGAGGACCCACUGUCAUUCAGAAAACCUCCUCCUAGUUUUUCUAUGCAGGGAGUCAUUCACACAUCCAGCAAGGAAAACAGGGGCUUGUGCAGACUCUCCUUGGGAGGUAAUGGGAGAGGGAUUCUAAAUGCUUGUCACAUUUUUACCUGACACUGUUACUACCAUGUAACUACUAAUAACUAAUGCCAACUUCUGAAUCAUAUUUCCUAUCAUCUUAUGAGAGAGAACUCUGUGGUGUAUAAACACCAAAUCACAAAUCUCCACUUUACAUUCUUGUUUGUCUACUUGUUUGUCUGUUUUCCACUGCAGUGCAGGAGCCCGUGGAGGAGACCCGGUUUCCAGCACCGAGGGGCUCAAGAAUCUCAGGUCACCUGUGAGAUGAGCUCUGAGCACUUGCCCACACUCCUGAGCAUGAACAUAAAGCCCCAUCACAUGCAGUGGCAGAUGGUUAAGACAACAACCAACCAUCUCGUCAGAUAAAAGCUUCGCUCCACUUAAAGUGGAUGAUUUUUAAAUUUGUUUGUAAAACCUUUGAUAUUUGACUACUAAGAAAUUAUAAGAUCCCUAUGGACAGGCAACUAAUUUUCUACAUUUCCUGGUUCUUUAAAAAUAAAUAAUUGUCAUAGGUCCUUAUUAAAG